AUAUAUGGUUAUACAAGCAGCAUACAGGAAUACCAUAUCUCAUCAAACACUUGGCUUGUUCCAGAAACUAAAGGAGCUAUUGUACAAGGUGGAUAUGGCCAUACUAGUGUGUAUGAUGAAAUAACAAAGUCCAUUUAUGUUCAUGGAGGGUAUAAAGCAUUGCCAGGGAACAAAUAUGGAUUGGUUGAUGAUCUUUAUAAAUAUGAAGUUAACACUAAGACUUGGGUGCUUGGUCUCCUUGUGGUGAAGCAGUUUUGAAGGUUUCAUGGUUUCAUUGGAUGGCUGGUUGCAACGUAUUGUACAAAGUGGAC
rnacentral:lncRNA from 10 species